UGCCAGCAGCCGCGGUAAUACGAAGGGGGCUAGCGUUGUUCGGAAUUACUGGGCGUAAAGCGCACGUAGGCGGACUUUUAAGUCAGAUGUGAAAUCCCGAGGCUUAACCUCGGAAUUGCUUUUGAAACUCCAAGUCUCGAGUCCCGGAGGGGUUGACGGAAUUCCGAGUGUAGAGGUGAAAUUCGCAGAUAUUCGGAGGAACACCAGUGGCGUAGGCGGCUAACUGGCUCGGUACUGACGCUGAGAUGCGAAAGCGUGGGGAGCAAACAGAAUUAGAUG
rnacentral:rRNA from 1 species